GACGAACGCUGGCGGCGUGCUUAACACAUGCAAGUCGAACGGAAAGGCCCUGCUUUUGUGGGGUGCUCGAGUGGCGAACGGGUGAGUAACACGUGAGUAACCUGCCCUUGACUUUGGGAUAACUUCAGGAAACUGGGGCUAAUACCGGAUAGGAGCUCCUGCUGCAUGGUGGGGGUUGGAAAGUUUCGGCGGUUGGGGAUGGACUCGCGGCUUAUCAGCUUGUUGGUGGGGUAGUGGCUUACCAAGGCUUUGACGGGUAGCCGGCCUGAGAGGGUGACCGGCCACAUUGGGACUGAGAUACGGCCCAGACUCCUACGGGAGGCAGCAGUGGGGAAUAUUGCGCAAUGGGCGGAAGCCUGAUGCAGCAACGCCGCGUGCGGGAAGACGGCCUUCGGGUUGUAAACCGCUUUCGCCUGUGACGAAGCGUGAGUGACGGUAAUGGGUAAAGAAGCACCGGCUAACUACGUG
rnacentral:rRNA from 1 species